rnacentral:rRNA from 1 species
AUUGAACGCUGGCGGCAGGCCUAACACAUGCAAGUCGAGCGCGAAAGUUCUUCGGAAUGAGUAAAGCGGCGGACGGGUGAGUAAUACAUGGGAAUCUGCCUGGUAGUGGGGGACAACGUUUCGAAAGGAACGCUAAUACCGCAUACGCCCUACGGGGAAAGGGGGGAGUCGCAAGACCUCGCGCAAUUGGAGCGGCCGAU